AUACGUAGGGAGCAAGCGUUAUCCGGAUUUACUGGGUGUAAAGGGCGCGUAGGCGGGAUGACAAGUCAGGUGUGAAAUCUAUGGGCUCAACCCAUAAACUGCACUUGAAACUGUUGUUCUUGAGUGAUGGAGAGGCAAGUGGAAUUCCUAGUGUAGCGGUGAAAUGCGUAGAUAUUAGGAGGAACACCGGUGGCGAAGGCGGCUACCUGGACCGAUACUGACGCUGAGACGCGAAAGCGUGGGGAGC
rnacentral:rRNA from 1 species